CUCACGCCUCGCUCCAUCUCCGCCCGUGCGCUCCGCCACCGCCGCUGCCAUACCGCUCCUCCUCCCAUUGGUUUCUCUCCUCUUCUAGCUGCCUCUCCUCCAGCCGCAUCGUCGACCAUCUUCCUACCUCUUUCUCCCGUCCCCGCAAGGCAGUGCCUCCCCACGUUAUCGAUGCGGCGUUGCCGUGCAUGGUGGUUUCAGAUCAGGCGCAGGUCGCAGCCAUGUAGUUAAGGGGCGGCGUGGUUUCUCUGAUGCAUAUGGAGGAUUGGGGGAGGGUGAGCAUGACGGACAUGUGGGAAGCCGCAACAAGCCUGGAGCUGCAGCGGCGCUCGCGUCAAGGUGGUGUGGAGCCGUUAUUCACUACCCACCGCUGGUUCCGAAUUCAUCCCUCAACCCCAGUUUAGGUGUAUAGAUCAAACUAAGAAGAGAAGAGGAAGGAUGUUGUGGAAGAGUGAAGAACAAGAUAUGUGCAUACCAGGAAGCAUGUUGAUGAAGAGUGAAUAACAAGGUGAACUUUCUUUUGUGGACUUUAUCUCUGGCACAAUACGCGGGGACUCAGGUGACAAUGAAUAGCGGGAGGAUGCCGGUGGCAGCGGAAAGAGCAGGCCGGUGAGGAGGGAAAGCAACACGGGAAUGUAUAUAUUUCUUCACAUGAACUUCACUAUUUUGCAACAUGUAUUCCAUUUUCACGGAUUAUUCUUUUGUACUUUUGUUUUUAUCUAAUCCAUUCCAACCUUUUAACUGAUGAUGUUUGAUUCACUACUAUUUUGGUUGAUGAUAGAUUAAGAAGGAUAUGAUUAUGAAGCUUGUGCUUCUUCCAAUAUGCCCUCAGUACUCUAUAUCAACAAGUGAGUCUAGCAGCCGCAUUCUCCGACGCUUUAUAUAUUUUCAUGGAUAGGGUUUGGGUGGCCUGAUGAGAGCAGCCCAGUGUCUGCACCUCUGCAGCCUCGCCAACGUUGAUAGUCACAGGUACCAUCUCUUUACCCCAUCCAGUUCUUUCCUUCCAUUUGAUUCAGUUUCUUUUACAACUGAAUCAAGUCUCGAGGUGGAUGUGUGAGCUCUACACGAAGAUCGGUCAGGACGAUCUACGACUACAAGGCACCUAAAAAAAUCCAUACUUUCUAGGUGUUCUUGGGAUGAACUAAUGUGAAAUCGUUCAUCAUCUAGCAGUUUCUAUGUAAACAGUUGGAUCAACUUCUCACUUGUAUGCUCGGGCUGUUAUUUUUCUUCACCAUCUUAGUCAUGAGAUUAUGCAUGCCUCUUUAGGUAAUGGAGAAUAAAUGUAUUUUAGCUGGAGGUAAGUACCCAGAUCAACUUUGAUUUGUGUUCUUGCAUGGCCCUUUUGUUUUACCUUUCAACCUUAGCAUAGAAAUAGGUCAGUUUCUCUUAUUAACUUCUUGUGUUUGGAUAUAUGGUUUUGAAAACGUAUGCCAUUGUUUUACAAAGAUUGCCUGAUAAUUUAAUCAUAUAGUUGAAAUUUAGUAAAAUAUGUCCACUUCGUAGAUAUUGAGACGACCCACGAAUAGAGUCGAAUUAUCUAUGUUUUUGAGGCGAUGUAGAUUUCAUCCGAUCUCUCUAUUCGUGCUUUGUGAGAAGAUUUCAGCAAAGCUUUCUAUUCAUAUAGUUAUUUAUUAUGCGCUUAAAAUUUUGUUCUAGCAGUCACCCCUUGGUGCUUAAAUUAAGGUUCUCGGUUUUAGUGCUCUUCAGGUCCAUGCAUGAUAAUCAGUUUUUACUUUGUGUACCCUGUCUGUGGUGCGUGCCGUCUUGCAGCGUGGAUAAACCUUUGAUCUUGAUUUUUUGUCAAAGUUUUGUCAGCAAACACAUCGAGACAUUGGAAGAAGAAGACGUGGUGUACAAAUAGUUGGCUUUACAGUCUGGCAUUAAGCACCGGGGAGUUCCUUCUUUUGGUGUUGAGGUCACAUUCAUUUCAGAUCCUGUGGAUAUUACCAAAAUCCUGCCUUAUGUUUGCACAAUUGAUAGUUUCUAACCUCAGAGGCUCGGCAGGUUGGUCCGAUCUUUUGUAUGGGGCAGGCUUCAGGCCAACGGAAGAUGAUUUACCGGGUGACUGCCGCUACAGGUCUUCGGGGCUCCGUGUGCCACCUGGGACAUUUUGUAUGAAUUUUGGAGAUUCUCUGGUUGUUGAACAUAUACCAACUCCUCUUUUUUUUAAUCCAGUAUGAUUCUUGAUCCUACAAAAUUGCAAGUUAUUGCAGCUUUUCAUGGUGUGGUCUCUGGUGUCACUUACUAAGCUUGACUGCAGUAUGCACCUUUUAGAGUUUGCUGAUGAGGUCUAUGGGACAAAAUUGCUGAAUGAUUUUGGAAUCCCCAGAGUUUACGUCCCCACGGUGAGUUCUGGUCAAACCAAUAUCUUAGUAUGCAUGUUAGCGAGUUCAUUUCUCGCAUGGAGAAGUGUUUGUUUGGAAUUCUCAUGGUGCAUCUGCCUAGCUUGGAUUCCUUUCGAGUUUACACUCCAAUCAGUUGGUUUUUAGUAUAUCUGCAUGUACCUAGGUUGUAGCAGCACCAACGUGUUGGAAAUAUGCCCUAGAGGCAAUAAUAAAUGGUUAUUAUUAUAUUUCUUUGUUCA